UCUCUAUUUCACAAUUUAUUUAUUACAUUUCAACCUUUUUCUCUUUUGCUUGUAACAUUUGCAGUACAAUUUAUUCUAUAUGUGCAUCAUUUCCCUAUGUUGUUUAAUGAGAUCCACUAACUUUCGUUUGGAUUGCUGUCCCUUCCCACAAACUAUGUUUCCAUUUAGCUAUUUGGAGACAUGACCUUCGUUCUUUUGGUGCAGGCUCUUAGCAGAUUUGGCAAGAUUUCAACAAAGUAACAAGAGAGUCACACAAGGUUCAUAAUUCAGACCAAUCAAAGAAGGUGCUGAUACCUAGAGUUGGGCUGAGCUGAGCCGUGCGGAGUCCCCCUCAAGCUUCUUCUUCUUCUUCUUCUUCAUCAUUCUCUUCUUCCCGAAGCUCGGAGUCGUUGAACCGAGGGCAGGGUUAGGUUGGUGUUAGCUGACGAAGGUCUGCAGUUGGCAGGUGAAGUUUAUUUCUUUUGAUGUAUUUGGCUACUUUGUUAGCACUGUGCUGGAUGUAUUUUGUUUUUGUACACUCUAACUCUAGUCGGAUUGGGACCAUGUAUAUACAUAUA